rnacentral:rRNA from 1 species
GUGCAGCAGGCGCGAAACUUUACAAUGUGCGAAAGCACGAUAAGGGAACUCUGAGUGCCUCCUAAGGAGGCUGUUCUGAUGUCUAAAAAGCAACAGAAGUAAGGGCUGGGUAAGACCGGUGCCAGCCGCCGCGGUAACACCGGCAGCCCAAGUGGUAGCCACGUUUAUUGGGUCUAAAGCGUUCGUAGCCGGCCAGGUAAGUUCCUUGGUAAAUUUAGCCGCUUAACGGUUAAGCUUUCAGGGAAUACUGCUUGGCUUGGGACUGGGGAGAGGUCAGAGGUACUCCGGGGGUAGGGUGAAAUCUAUUAAUCCCUGGGGGACCACCGGUAGCGAAGGCGUCUGACCAGACCAGGUCCGACGGUGAGGGACGAAGGCUAGGGGCGCGAACCGGAUUAGAUACCCCCGUAGU